GAUGAACGCUGGCGGCGUGCCUAAUACAUGCAAGUCGAGCGAACGGACGAGAAGCUUGCUUUUCUGAUGUUAUCGGCGGACGGGAGAGUAACACGUGGAUAACCUAACUAUAAGACUGGGAUAACUUCGGGAGACCGGAGCUAAUACCGGAUAAUAUUUUGAACCGCAUGGUUCAAAAGUGAAAGACGGUCUUGCUGUCACUAAUAGAUGGAUCCGCGCUGCAUUAGCUAGUUGGUAAGGUAACGGCUUACCAAGGCAACGAUGCAUAACCGACCUCAGAGGGUGGUUGCACACCCGGGAAGUGAGACUGGGCCGCGACACCGACGGUAGGACGCAGCAGGGAAUCUUCCGCGAUGGGGGAAUGCCGGAUGGAGCAACGCGGCGUGAGGGAUGAAGGACCUCGGAUGCGAGAACGCUGUUAGUAGGGAAGAAGAUAUGUGUAUGUAACUGUGAUGAUCUUGACGGUACCGAAUCAAAAAGCCACGGCUAACUACGUG
rnacentral:rRNA from 1 species